UACGUAGGGUGCGAGCGUUAAUCGGAAUUACUGGGCGUAAAGCGUGCGCAGGCGGCUUUGCAAGACAGAUGUGAAAUCCCUGGGCUCAACCUGGGAACUGCAUUUGUGACUGCAAGGCUAGAGUACGGCAGAGGGGGAUGGAAUUCCGCGUGUAGCAGUGAAAUGCGUAGAUAUGCGGAGGAACACCAAUGGCGAAGGCAAUCCCCUGGGCCUGUACUGACGCUCAUGCACGAAAGCGUGGGGAGCAAACAGG
rnacentral:rRNA from 1 species